rnacentral:rRNA from 1 species
CUACGGGGGGCUGCAGCUAAGAAUCUUCCGCAAUGGACGAAAGUCUGACGGAGCGACGCCGCGUGGAUGAUGAAUGCCGAGAGGUUGUAAAGUCCUUUUAUCAGAGAAGAAUAAUCAUGUCAGGGAAUGGGCGUGAGAUGACGUUAUCUGAUGAAUAAGCUCCGGCCAAUUACGUGCCAGCAGCCGCGGUAACACGUAAGGAGCGAGCGUUGUUCGGAAUUAUUGGGCGUAAAGGGCAAGCAGGCGGCCUUGUAAGUCUGGCGUGAAAUACCGUGGCUCAACCACGGAAACGCGCUGGAAACUGUGAGGCUAGAAUCCGUGAGGGGUAUGUGGAAUUCCUGGUGUAGGGGUGAAAUCUGUUGAUAUCAGGAAGAACACCUGAGGCGAAGGCGACAUACUGGCACUGGAUUGACGCUGAGAUGCGAAAGCGUAGGGAGCGAACAGGAUUAGAUACCCUCGUAGUC